rnacentral:rRNA from 1 species
AGAGUUUGAUCAUGGCUCAGGACGAACGCUGGCGGCGCGCCUAACACAUGCAAGUCGAACGAGCGAGAGAGAGCUUGCUUUCUCGAGCGAGUGGCGAACGGGUGAGUAACGCGUGAGGAACCUGCCUCAAAGAGGGGGACAACAGUUGGAAACGACUGCUAAUACCGCAUAAGCCCACGGGUCGGCAUCGACCAGAGGGAGAAGGAGCAAUCCGCUUUGAGAUGGCCUCGCGUCCGAUUAGCUAGUUGGUGAGGUAACGGCCCACCAAGGCGACGAUCGGUAGCCGGACUGAGAGGUUGAACGGCCACAUUGGGACUGAGACACGGCCCAGACUCCUACGGGAGGCAGCAGUGGGGAAUAUUGCACAAUGGGGGAAACCCUGAUGCAGCGACGCCGCGUGGAGGAAGAAGGUCUUCGGAUUGUAAACUCCUGUUGUUGAGGAAGAUAAUGACGGUACUCAACAAGGAAGUGACGGCUAACUACGUGCCAGCAGCCGCGGUAAAACGUAGGUCACAAGCGUUGUCCGGAAUUACUGGGUGUAAAGGGAGCGCAGGCGGGAAGACAAGUUGGAAGUGAAAUCCAUGGGCUUAACCCAUGAACUGCUUUCAAAACUGUUUUUCUUGAGUAGUGCAGAGGUAGGCGGAAUUCCCGGUGUAGCGGUGGAAUGCGUAGAUAUCGGGAGGAACACCAGUGGCGAAGGCGGCCUACUGGGCACCAACUGACGCUGAGGCUCGAAAGUGUGGGUAGCAAACAGGAUUAGAUACCCUGGUAGUCCACACCGUAAACGAUGAUUACUAGGUGUUGGAGGAUUGACCCCUUCAGUGCCGCAGUUAACACAAUAAGUAAUCCACCUGGGGAGUACGACCGCAAGGUUGAAACUCAAAGGAAUUGACGGGGGCCCGCACAAGCAGUGGAGUAUGUGGUUUAAUUCGACGCAACGCGAAGAACCUUACCAAGUCUUGACAUCCGUUGACCGCUGUAGAAAUACAGUUUUCCUUCGGGACAGCGAGACAGGUGGUGCAUGGUUGUCGUCAGCUCGUGUCGUGAGAUGUUGGGUUAAGUCCCGCAACGAGCGCAACCCUUAUGGUCAGUUACUACGCAAGAGGACUCUGGCCAGACUGCCGUUGACAAAACGGAGGAAGGUGGGGAUGACGUCAAAUCAUCAUGCCCUUUAUGACUUGGGCUACACACGUACUACAAUGGCGUUAAACAAAGAGAAGCAAGACCGCGAGGUGGAGCAAAACUCAGAAACAACGUCCCAGUUCGGACUGCAGGCUGCAACUCGCCUGCACGAAGUCGGAAUUGCUAGUAAUCGUGGAUCAGCAUGCCACGGUGAAUACGUUCCCGGGCCUUGUACACACCGCCCGUCACACCAUGAGAGCCGGGGGGACCCGAAGUCGGUAGUC